rnacentral:rRNA from 1 species
GAAAUGCGAUACGUAAUGUGAAUUGCAGAAUUCAGUGAAUCAUYGAAUCUUUGAACGCACCUUGCGCCCCUUGGCAUUCCGAGGGGCACACCCGUUUGAGUGUCGUGAAAUUCUCAAAGUCCUUUUCUUUGAUCAUUUCGAUCAAGAAAAGGGUUUUGGACUUGGAGGGUUAAUGCUCACUUUUUGAAAGUGAGCUCCUCUUAAAUGAAUUAGUGGGGGUUUGCUUUGCUAAUCCUUGACGUGAUAAGGUGAUUCUACGUUUUGGAUUUAGYACUGUCCCUUUAGAACACCCGCUUCUAAUUGUCCCAUGGACGACGAUGGUGUUCCRGUCACAUCGGCUGGAACCCACACAAAGAAAAACCUUGACCUCAAAUCGGGUGAGACUACCCGCUGAACUUAA